GUUCAGCUUUCCUGACGACUGUCGCCUCUGCCGGGAUGAUUGCAGGAUUUGGCUCAACGUUAGCCUUGGCCAAGAAAAAUAGUCCGGGAUAGUUCAGCAAGGAUCAGAUGGUGACAGGUGUCCCAGCAGGGUCAGACAGCCAUGGAAGUACAGUCUACAGAGCUCUGGAUCAGAUGGUGACAGGGGUCUCAGCCAACCAGGGAAGACCAGUGUGUGACGGCACUGAGGUGAACUUUUGCAGAUGCAACACUUUAUUCUUUCUUUGCAACAAACACUGGACAAGCCAGAAGCUUCAAAGAUUGAAACUAUUUUAAGGCAGUCUGACAAACCUCUAUAAAGUUGAUUUUCAAACUGUAUCAAGGGUUGAUAGGCUUUUCCCGAUGACACAAAACAUGUGUAACAAAAAUGUGAGAAAGACCUGGGAGACACUAUUGAUGAUGAUGAAUGGAUACAGAUAUGGUUGAAUGCCCAAUCAUGUUCAUAUAAUCGCAGACAUAAAUUACUUCAGUUUAAGACCUUCCACAGAACGUACUAUAUACCAGUGAAACUGAAUAUCAUGCACUCAGAAAUGUACUUCCUCURCUGGAGGUGUACAACACAAAAGGGAACAUAUUUGCAUAUGUUGUGGUCUUUUGAAGGUUGGCUGAAUUCUGGCAAAGAGUAUGUUAUUUUACCUUAACAUGUCUACAUACUCUCCUUUCUCCCUGUUUUUGUUUGCUUGGAAAUGUUGAUACUGGAGACUUAACAGAAGAAACUGUGUAAUGUAGAAUUUAUAGCAACUAAGAAAUCCAUUGACAUUAAUUGGAAGGUUGGUUAUCCUCCCACAAUGUCCCAAUGGAUGGCAGAAGAUUAAAGGUAUACUGUGCAACUUUCAUAAGGUCUGCUGUGACGUAGAAGUCCGUCACUGGCCGCGGGCAGCAUUUGGUACUUU